UGCCAUCAUCCUGUUAGUUCACAAUGAUUCACAUUAUCAAGCAGAUCCUAAGGUUUCGUUUUGAAUAACCAGUGGAUGCUUUAAUGGAGCAUGAAGAAUGUGUUUCCUGCUGUCAUCCAAAACCCAGGAAGCUGAUUUAACAUCAGGGCCAUGCUGGGGCAUUGUGGGGAGGGGAGGGAAUAGCACUGUGGUCAAAGUUGGCAUCGAGUCCUUGGCCCUUUGCCCCGUCAUCUUCGUGUGCCCACCAGUCUUCAGCUACAGGGCAGGAGGGCCUUGGGUCUCAUGACUACUCCUAGUAGAGUUACCUCCUAUUGAGAUCCUUCAGGCCCCAGACAAACUUCACUUCCUCAGCGAAACCUCCCCAGCCUCCUCUCUGCCACCUCCACCUCACAGCAAACAUUUACUACACAACAGCUGUGGAAGAAUGCUGCUCAGCUGGGCCAGGCUGGGAGGAGAGCAGUAUCUCACACCUGAGAACUCAGAGCAAGUCAGGACCCACCUUCUUCAAAACCCGAGGGAGCUGAGAGUGAGGUGGAUUUCAGCCUGGGUCUAGGGGUGAAAGUUUACGAACUAACGCAGAGGGACAGAGAGAUAGGAAAUGGUGGAAACCAGGUUAACAGUUGUGCCAAGCUCAUGUGAAUCUUGGAACCUGAAAUGCCAUUUUCCUGGUAAGGAAGCUGUGGCCUAGAGAGAUUAACUGACUUUGAGGUCACAAAACUGGGGAGCUUGGAUCCUGAGAUUUCUUUGAACUGAUUCUAAGUAGUUGUGGAUUGAACUAUAGAAAUCUGCAGUGUGUUUUGGUGCCUUGGAUUUGAAGGGGACAAGUUAUUUCCAGGAUUAAGGUGGGUACAAAGCCCUUUCACAUAAUUAGCUUGCUUGACCCCAUGACACUCCUGUGGAGAAAUUAAGACUAGAGAACUUGUGAUUGACCCAAGAGCCACAGGACAGACAUGGUGCUUUAAAUCAUUUGACUUGGGGGCAAGAUUCGUAUAUAGAAUACGGGCCACUGUGGAGGAGAUAACUAAAUCCCUAGUUGUUUCUAAGUGACAGAGAGGAAAUAGAUCAUGUGACUGGGAAAUCUGACACAGCUAGAAAGCAAUGGAAAACACUAGGGUUGCAUCAGAUGUUGAAGAGGAACUGAUCACACCAUGGAGAUAAAAAUGGUCUCCUUGAGCAGGAUUUUUAAAAAGCUGGUUAUUUAGAGGUAGCAGCCUUUUGCGGGGAAGCUAACAAGGGCUCCAGAGGCCCAUUUGUCCCUUAGCGAUGUUGGCCCCAUAUUUGAAUGAGGGAUGGAUGUUUUGAUGCUAUUCUUUUUUCUUUCAGCACAGAUUUGCGAGCGUGGGCUGCAAAUAAAUUUUCAUCCCUGUCAGGAUGUCUCUCUAUAGGGAAGGUUCUAGAUUCAUUCUGUGGAACAACGUCUACAAUAAAUUUAAUGUGGUUAUGGUUUUUCCUUAA